UUAUAUGUCCAGUUUUGUUUAUCUUAUUGGAGCUGCAAUGCUCUUCAAUGAUUCUUCAUAUUUAUGCAUCCCAUAGGCUCAUCCGAAUCAACCAAGUAAUCGAUCCGGUUGAACCAAGCCGAGGAGCCUCAUCGAACCCGAAUGUUUUCACAAAUUCACAUUCAGUUCACAAUCACUGAGCUCAAACCCAAGCACGGCUCGAUUAAUUGUGUGGCCUGACGAAUCCGUGCACAAUCCGCUCAUAUCAGUACUCCAACCAUCAGAUGCCGACCUCACGGCUCAAUUCCUAUGAUAUAAAAGAUCGUGCUGGCCGAGUCAAAACUCUGUGUCUCUGGAAGCCUCGGCACGGCGGAACCCUUGCGCUCGCUCGCUCGCUCGCUUUGAAGAUUGCGACUUUAUCGCGCAAUCCUCGGCACGACGAAACCCUCGGCACGACGGUAUCCGCAUCUGGUCUUCCUUGCCCGUUGAGGGAAGAAAGAUCAAAAUCGAAGACAAGAGGGAAGGAGAGAUCAAGAAGGGUAAGAAAAAGAUCGAACAAGAGGAGAUCGCGAGGGGUUCUUGGAGGAUGAGAUGGCGUUGAAAUUUCUGAACGAGAAUGGAUGGCACACCGGGAGCCUCCGGAACAUCCUGUGCUUCAGGACUUUCUUGAUAGGAACUGUCUGACUAGGCAAUUAAAGAUACUUUGAUUAAAUUUAUUGUUGCCUCUACUCUCCACAUUUGGAAAAAGUAUUAUUAAGUCUCCAUAUGCUUAAAUAUCUCA